AAAAAAAACUCGCUGCUGUAUUCAUAUUGUAUUGUCGUGAAGCUUCAGAAUCACCUCGGGUCUGCCAGCCAUCGUUAGUGCAGGAGGCUACGCCUGGCUGAGCUGUGCGCUCCGGCGACAACAAAACAGCAAUCAUGACUAGGGGAAAUCAGCGUGAGCUUGCCCGUCAGAAGAAUGCUAAGAAGAACAAUGAACAUGCCAAAGGGAAGAGAAAUGAGGAUGGCCUCUCAGCAGCUGCCCGAAAGCAAAGAGAUGCUGAAAUCAUGCAGCAGAAGCAAAAAAAGGCAAAAGAGAAGGUGGACCCUAAAGGCAAUUAACCAGUGGCUGGCGCUGUGACCGACAUGGCAUCCUGAUUUAUUUUUUCUUUUUUUUUUUUUGGUCAAGAGCAGGUAUCUGUCAUUGUAUAGAUCUGGAGACUUUGAUUCUUUAAUGUUUCAUCCCAAACUCUGUUAUGUUCUUGAAAGGGCAUAUAAAUUACACCGUACAUAAUGAUUUGUGUUCAGCUGUUGAGGAGAGAGUUUCUUAUGUUCAAAUAAUCAGAGCAAGACCAAAUAUUGGGAGUCUCAAAGAUGUGUGGACUUGCACUGUAAUCUUGUAUUUUUGUAUCAAAUGCCCUUCUUAAUAAAAUUUACAUUUUAAUUCA